rnacentral:snRNA from 1 species
AUACUUACCUGGCAGGGGAGAGACCAUGAUCACGAGGGUGGUUCACUCAGGGUGAGACUCAGCCUAUUAUCCAUCCAUCCAUCCAUCCAUCCAUCCAUCUAUCUAUCUAUCUAUGUAUCUAUCAAUCUAAUCUAAUCACUGCUCAUGA